rnacentral:rRNA from 1 species
UAAAAUGGGAGGUAAAUUUCUCCUAAGGCUAAAUAUUGGCGAGAGACCGAUAGCGAACAAGUACCGUGAGGGAAAGAUGAAAAGUACUUUGAAAAGAGAGUUAAACAGUACGUGAAAUUGUUGAAAGGGAAACGAUUGAAGCCAGUCUUACCUGCGGAUAAUCAGCUUUUUGAGUGUGAUUAUGUGGUCUAUGAGGAGUUUAACCGCCUUCAUGUAUUGCAUAUUUGUGCUCUUGGGUGUACUUGCCCGUGUGGUAGGUCAACAUCAAUUUCGGACGUCAUAAAAUGAUUGGAGGAAUGUAGCUUUGAUCUCGUAUCGAAGUGUUAUAGCCUCUGGUAGAUGUGACGAUUGGGAUUGAGGAUUGCAACGGAUACCCCUCGGGGCUACCCGUCUGAUCUCUGAAGGUUGCUCCGGUGCCGAAAGCGUGCUUACGGUCAUCGAAAGUGAUUUUCAAAAGGUUAGAGCGGGUUAAA